rnacentral:pre_miRNA from 2 species
ACCUUGGCUCUAGACUGCUUACUGCUAAAUGUGUCUGAAAGUACAGUAACAGUCUACAGUCAUGGCU